rnacentral:lncRNA from 1 species
CAUGUGUGUGUUCCUUGCAGGAAAACUGCAUGAUUGAGGCCGAUUUUGCAGAUGAAGAAAUGAUGACUCCCUGGAACACCAAGAACACUUGUGGAUUGAACUCAGAUAUUCAACAACUGAAGUUUGAAGACCAAAAAUUAGAUAUAGAUUGCUCUAAGAAGAUAGCCAAUAUUUUGGCCUUAGCCCUCUUUGGUCAGUGAAGACCCAGGACGUGAGAGAACCUCUGCUGCAACAUCCCACAGCUCAGUUUAGUCCCUGAUUUUCUGAUCAAAGAGAUUAUGGGACAAUAGAGGAAAGCGAUUCACAUUAUAUAGUGUUCCUAAGGAGAGUCACAAGGAGAGAAGAAAAUCUCUCAAGCUUUCACAGAAAGCAACUGGGUC